rnacentral:rRNA from 1 species
CCUACGGGAGGCAGCAGUGAGGAAUAUUGGUCAAUGGGCGAGAGCCUGAACCAGCCAAGUCGCGUGAGGGAGUACUGCCCUAUGGGUUGUAAACCUCUUUUGUCGGGGAGCAAAAGCCGGACGUGUCCGGCUGUGAGAGUACCCGAAGAAAAAGCAUCGGCUAACUCCGUGCCAGCAGCCGCGGUAAUACGGGGGAUGCGAGCGUUAUCCGGAUUUAUUGGGGUUAAAGGGUGCGCAGGCGGAUUUUUAAGUCAGCGGUCAAAUCGUGGGGUUCAACCCCAUCCAGCCGUUGAAACUGGGGAUCUAGAGUGUGUGAGAGGCAUGCGGAAUGCGUGGUGUAGCGGUGAAAUGCAUAGAGAUCACGCAGAACCCCGAUUGCGAAGGCAGCAUACCGGUGCACAACUGACGCUCAGGCACGAAAGCGUGGGUAUCGAACAGGAUUAGAUACCCCUGUAGUC